UACGAGGGGGGCAAGCGUUGUUCGGAAUUAUUGGGCGUAAAGGGUGCGUAGGCGGUUUGACAAGUCUGAUGUGAAAUCUAUGGGCUCAACCCACAGUCUGCAUCGGAAACUGUCGGGCUUGAGUAUGGGAGAGGUGAGUGGAAUUUCCGGUGUAGCGGUGAAAUGCGUAGAUAUCAAGAGGAACACCUGAGGUGAAGACGGGUUGCUGGUCUAACACUGACGCUGAGGCGCGAAAGCCAGGGGAGCAAACGGG
rnacentral:rRNA from 1 species